CUAUCUAUUAUAGAUUGUUGUCUUUGUCCCUAACUCAUUUGUUGACUUUAUUUUAACUAGUGUGCCUUUUACCUUAUCUUGAUCCCCCUUUGUUAUCUUUCUUCCCUUUUUUCUUUCUUCCUUUUGUUGCAUAGUGGUUGUAAUUGGCGAGGGUAGACUAGGGGCAUGUCAUAGGUCGGGGUCGGGGUCAGGAGAUGUUGGGUCUGGGCUGGGGUUUGAGGGGGUUGGGUCUGGGUCGGGUCUAGGAUCGAGUUUGGGGUUAGAGGAUAGGGGUAGUAAGGUUAAACGGGAUAAGAGAGCUUCUAGGUUGCGAGUUGGGUCUUGGAACAUUGGUACUUUGUGGGGUAAGUCUAUAGAGUUGGUGAAGAUUCUUAGAAAGAGGAGGGUU
rnacentral:lncRNA from 1 species